CACGUAGGGCGCAAGCGUUUGUCCGGAAUUAUUGGGCGUAAAGAGCGUGUAGGCGGUUUGGUAGGUCCGCUGUGAAAACUCGAGCUCAACCUCGAGACGCCGGUGGAAACCAUCAGACUAGAGUCCGGAAGAGGAGAGUGGAAUUCCUGGUGUAGCGGUGAAAUGACGCAGAUAUCAGGAAGAACACCCGUGGCUAAGGCGGCUCUCUAGUACGGUACUGACGCUGAGACGCGAAAGCGUGGGGAGCGAACAGG
rnacentral:rRNA from 1 species